rnacentral:rRNA from 1 species
AUCUUGCUCCAAAAAGAUAAAUAAUUCAACAUCGAGGUCAUAAUCUUUUUCUUCUAUAAGAACUUUAAGAAAAAAUUGUGCUGUUAUCCCUACGGUAGCUUGGUUGACUCUCAAUUUGAGGAUGAAAAUGAAAGAUAAGAAAAGAUUUAGUUUUUUACCGCCCCAGUUCAACAAAAGUAAAGUUCGAUAGGGUCUUGUCGUCCUUCUUUGUAAUACAAGUCUUUUUACUUGAACGAAAGAUUAAAAAAAUUUAGGCAAUAAAGAAAUUUACAUGUCAAACCUUUCAUUCUAGCCUCCAAUUAAAAGGCAAAUGAUUAUGCUACCUUAGCACAAAAGUAUUGCGGCUAUUUAAUAAAUCAUUGAGCAGGCCCUACUGAAUAUCAUAUCAUUCAGAAAUGUUUUUGAUAAACAGACAGUAAAAGAAUAGGCCGAGUUCAUAGACCUAAAGUUAGAAUUUUCAUUGGAGACAAAAUUUUCAUAGAAAAAAGUGUGGAAAUAUUUUACUAAUAAGAUCAUAGUAAAAUUUAUGAGCCGGGUUUCUUUUAAAAGGAUUUGUGGAGAGAGAUAGUUCAGUUUUUAAACUUAGAGGACACUAUUAAUCCUAAAAUUUCUUAGGAGAGGUGAAGGUAAUUAAUAAAAAAGGUUAUCCCUUUUUAAGUUCCGGUAUUCUUACCUUUAGAGAAAACCAGAUAUCAUUGAUUGCGAAUGGAAUUUCAUCUCUAAGUUCUUUUUGGAAAACUUUAUGAAACAAGCUUUACAAAAGAAGGUAGAUCAUCUCAAUUUCGGGAACAUUUUUUAAAAAAUAAGGGUUGAUUUUCCCUGAUACUAAAGGUACAUUCUUUUUCUAUAUUGCAAUUGAUAUGGCUUCCCCUCACGGUGAAAAGAAAGUUGAAAAUGAACAGAAAUGAAAAAGUAUUUAUUUAAAUAUAACUUUUAAUAGGAGU